rnacentral:rRNA from 1 species
UACAGAGGUCCCAAGCGUUGUUCGGAUUCAUUGGGCGUAAAGGGUGCGUAGGCGGCGCGGUAAGUCGGGUGUGAAAUCUCGGAGCUUAACUCCGAAACUGCAUUCGAUACUGCCGUGCUUGAGGACUGGAGAGGAGACUGGAAUUUACGGUGUAGCGGUGAAAUGCGUAGAUAUCGUAAGGAAGACCAGUGGCGAAGGCGGGUCUCUGGACAGUUCCUGACGCUGAGGAGCGAAAGCGUGGGUAGCAAACAGG